rnacentral:rRNA from 1 species
GACGAACGCUGGCGGCGUGCUUAACACAUGCAAGUCGAACGAUGAAGCCGGAGCUUGCUCUGGUGAAUUAGUGGCGAACGGGUGAGUAACACGUGAGUAACCUGCCCUUGACUCUGGGAUAACUGCGGGAAACUGUAGCUAAUACCGGAUACGACCCUCGGAGGCAUCUCCUGGGGGUGGAAAGAAUUUCGGUCAAGGAUGGACUCGCGGCCUAUCAGCUAGUUGGUGAGGUAAAGGCUCACCAAGGCGACGACGGGUAGCCGGCCUGAGAGGGUGACCGGCCACACUGGGACUGAGACACGGCCCAGACUCCUACGGGAGGCAGCAGUGGGGAAUAUUGGACAAUGGGCGGAAGCCUGAUCCAGCAACGCCGCGUGAGGGAUGACGGCCUUCGGGUUGUAAACCUCUUUCACCACCGACGAAGCGCAAGUGACGGUAGGUGGGGAAGAAGCACCGGCCAACUACGUGCCAGCAGCCGCCGUAA